rnacentral:lncRNA from 1 species
CUUCCAAAAAAAAAUUGAGUACAUUAAUGAGUACACCCUAACAUAAUCCUUGACUUAAAGUAGCAAAUUUCUAAUCACAACAUGAAAGAGAGAGGAGGAAGUUUCAUAUUGUUUUAUUCUUACUAGAGAAUAAGAACACAUGGUACUCAAUUGAUCGAGCAUAUGAUGUAACAAGAACACAUGAUAUCCAAUUUUGAUAUAUGGAACAAGAACAUAGGAAGUUCCAUGUUAUUUUCUUUGAUAUAUGGAACAAGAACAAAUGAUAUCCAAUUUAGCACAAUAUUAAAAAGUUCCAAUGUU